rnacentral:rRNA from 1 species
GACGAACGCUGGCGGCGUGCCUAAUACAUGCAAGUCGAACGCAGUGGGGACGGGUGAGUAACACGUGGGUAACCUCCCAUCAGAGGGGAUAACACUUGGAAACAGGUGCUAAACCGAUAAUGCUGGAUGGACCCGCGGGUCAUUAGCUAGUUGGUGAGUUAACGGCUCACCAAGGCGACGAUGCAUAGCCGGCCUGAGAGGUGGAUCGGCCACACUGUGACUGAGACACGGCCCAGACUCCGACGGGAGGCAGCAGUAGGGAAUCUUCGGCAAUGGACGAAAGUCUGACCGAGCAACGCCGCGUGAGUGAAGAAGGUUUUCGGAUCGUAAAACGCUGUUGUUAGAGAAGCGUUAUCUAAUCAGAAAGCCACGGCUAACUACGUGCCAGCAGCCGCGGUAAUUC